rnacentral:rRNA from 1 species
GAUGAACGCUAGCGGCAGGCCUAAUACAUGCAAGUCGGACGGGAUUCAGGAGCUUGCUUCUGAUGAGAGUGGCGCACGGGUGCGUAACACGUAUGUAACCUACCUUUAUCAGGGGGAUAGCCUCUCGAAAGAGAGAUUAAGCCCGCAUAAAAUCACAGCACAGCAUUGUGUAAUGAUCAAAUAUUUAUCGGAUAAAGAUGGGCAUGCGGAACAUUAGCUAGAUGGCGGGGUAACGGCCAACCAUGGCGACGAUGUUUAGGGGAUCUGAGAGGAUGGUCCCCGACACGGGUAGUGGGACACGGACCAGGCGCCUACGGGACGCAGCAGUAAGGAAUGGUGGGCAAUGGGCGGAAGCCUGAACCAGCCAUGCCGAGUGUAGGAAGGCGGCGCUGCGGGUUGUAAGCUGCUUUUAUAGGUGAAAAACCCCAGUUACGGGUAUCUGGCUGAAUGUACUGUAAGAAUAAGCAUCGGCUAACUCCGUG